UGUUAUAGUCAACAGUGGAGCCAUGCACAGAGAGGAGAAGUUUCCUGAGGAACGCCUUGAAGGAGCUGGUCAAAGUCCUGGAGGAUGAACCUGGACUUCUGGGACCCAAGGUGUUGUUUGUCUUCAUGGCUCUGUCGUUUUCCCGUGACGAGGUCCUGUGGCUCGUCAGAUAUUCAGAGAAUAUUCCCAAGACCAAGACUCCAGAGGAC